GGUAGUUCUUGUCGCCAUGUAAACAUACACUCUGGGCAGUAGGACCGGGACUAACACCAUCACAAGCACCCCUGGCAGGAUGGCCACUAAGCUGGAUGCUUCUGAAAGGAGACAGCAAAGGCACCGGGGCAUUGGCUUGGAAGGUGCAGACUUCCCGAGACCAAGCGGGAACCCCAGCCAACGGAGGAUAGGGGGAGAGGGAGGCUAUCCCUUCCCUAGCUUUGGAGACCAGAAGGACCCAGGCUCACCCCGGAAGCAGUCUCGAGUAAAGUUGGCCACCAUGCAGGACUCUCCACCUCUGCAGCCAUAGGGCUCGCACAGCAGGAUCCCUCGGCUUGCACAGGAGCAGCGCUGGGAGCAGUUGUUAGUUACGAAGCUGUCACCCAGCUGGAAGAGAGGAGGUGAAGACAGGAGACGGUCUAGACUCAUCCGGCAUCCCAUUCUCUGCACCUGGGCUCCCAGGCUUCUCUGCCAUCCGGACCUUGUAAUAGAUGCCAUUGGUGGUGCAGCCACAGUGCGUCACUGGGAGGCUCUGUGUGUCACUGUAGAUGUAGCCUGGGAGACUGGCACAGCCUUCCACGCAGGGGCCUUCACAGACCUUGGGGGUCACAAAUUUGGCACAGGUUGCUGGGCAGGGUGUCAUGCAGCUCUGAUACACAGUAUUGGCAGGACACGUCAUGGCUGAGGGGACAGAAACAUAGUUAGGAGCUGGCUGGCUUGGGUCCAAACAGAUAAAGGGACUAGUGGGCAAGAAAAAGGGGGGGGGGAUAAGGUCACCCAACAGAGAUCCCUGCCGACAGGGAGUCCAGAACAAGCGGGCCAGGUCUGUUUGAAGAGUUUGUCUGGGGCACAAGACAAGAUGGAAACAGAUGAAGACUGGAAGGGUGGGCACCAAGGCAUGCAAGUGAGUUUUCUGGAGAUGGACUGCCAUUUUGCACGGCCUGCGAUGGGUGCACUCUGAGAUGCAGGAUCCUCAGAGACUUCAUCCCAGGAUUGCUUCCUGCUGCUGCUAUGCCUGUCCUGUCCCUGUGACAUCGCCUAAUGUCAGCAUUACAUAGCAUCAGCCCACCCUAUUAAGGAAAUUUCCUGCAGAUCAACUUGAAGACGAACCUUCAUAAAUUAAUGCUGUUUAGAUGAAAGACUACCAUGAGUUUGAGGCCAGCUAGGUUUACGGAGUGAGAUUCUGUCUCCUAGAGCCAAAAACAGGAGCUAGAGAGGUGGCUCCACAGUUAAGAGCACUUGCUGAGAAUCCUGGUUCAAUUCCCAGUUCCUACACAGCAGCUCAGCACCCUCCUGAACUCUAAUUCCAGGGCAUCUUCUAGCCUCUGUGGGUGUGACUGGUUGCACAUGGUACACAGAAUGUAUGCAGACAAAGCUUUCAUAGGUAUACGUCACAUAAAAUCUUUUUUAAAAAGCCACCCCCCAAGCAUAAACCAGGAGCUGACAGAUAGCUAAGCCAGUAAAAGUACCUCAAGCAGGGCUGGAGAGAUGGCUCACCAGUUAAGAGCACAGACUGUUCUUCCAGAGGUCCUGAGUUCAAUUCCCAGUAACCACAUGGUGGCUCACAACCAUCUGUAUUUUUUUUUUAAACAUUUAUUUAUUAUGUAUACAUCAUACAGCUUUCUGCCUGCAUGUACGCCUGAAGGCCAGAAGAGGGCACCAGGUCUGAUUAUAGAUGGUUGUGAGCCACCAUGUGGUUGCUGGGAAUUGAACUCAGGACCUCUGGAAGAGCAGACAGUGCUCUUAACCGCUGAGCCAUCUCUCCAGCCCGACACAACCAUCUGUAAUGGGAUCGGAUGCCCUUUGACAGCUACAGUGUACUCAAAAAUAAAAUAAAUAAAUCUUUAAAAAAAAAAAAAGUACUUCAAGCAUGAGGACCUGAGUUCAAUUCCUAGGCAGGUGUGGUGUCAUGUGCUGGUAAUCUCAGUUCUGGGGAGGUGGAGACCUGAGGACAUUGGGACUCACUAGGCAGCCAGCCUAACGUAGUCACUAGGCUCUGGGUCCUAGUGAGACAGAUCCCCGGCUCAAAACACCAUGGUGGGUAGUAAGACCUGGUAAAGGCGGCCUACAUUAGAUCCCUCCCACGUGGUAGAAGAGAACCAACGCGUGCAUGAACACACACACACACACACACACAAAUACAUGUAACUGCCCCCUAAACAAAAGUACAAGGUAAAUGGCUCCUAUUCUCUGGUCUCCACACAUAUGCAUGCACACACCCAAAAACACAUAAACACAACACACACACACACACACACACACACACACACACACACACACA